rnacentral:tRNA from 1 species
GCCUAGAUGAUCUUCGGUGGUCCGGGGUGCAGGCUUCAAGUUUCUAAAAAUUGGAUUAGAAGUUACCUGUAGCUGAUUAGCGUCAGAGUGGUUCGAUUCCACCUUCUGGGC